UUGCUGGACCGCUCGGCGGUGGCGGCGGCGGCAUGGGCACCCCGACGUUGCCCCCGGCCUGGCAGCUGUUUCUCAAGGACCACCGCAUCUCGACGUUCAAGAACCGGCCUUUCUUGGAGGGCUGCGCCUGCACCCCAGAGCGGAUGGCCGAGGCUGGCUUCAUCCACUGUCCCACUGAGAACGAGCCCGACUUGGCACAGUAUUUCUUCUGCUUCAAGGAGCUGGAGGGCUGGGAGCCAGAUGAUGACCCCAUAGAGGAACAUAAAAAGCAUUCAUCUGGUUGUGCUUUCCUUUCUGUCAAGAAGCAGUUUGAAGAAUUAACCCUCAGUAAAUUUUUGAAACUGGACAGAGAAAGAGCCAAGAACGAGAUCGCAAAGGAAACCAGCAACAAGAAGAAAGAAUUUGAAGAAACUGCAAAGAAAGUGCGCUGCGCCAUUGAGCAGCUCGCUGCCCUGGAGUGA